AAGAGGAGAAGCACAUUACUAACGAAUUAAACUUGAAGCUGAAGUUGGUGGAUUGUGUACAGAGAAGGUGAGAGAUAUCUGUCUUCCAUCACAUACCAAAGUUGGUCUGGACUUUACUCACGAGAUGCUCUCCAUAGACAGCUCUUUUGAAAACUUGGCAUCCUCUUCUCCCUCCAGGGUACUUCUGUUUACAUAUACCCAAUGGCUCCACUACCGCGUCGAAAUUAGUCUGUUCAUUCAAAUUAAAACAUGAUUCCAAAUCCAACAGUGG